GAUGAACGCUGGCGGCGUGCCUAAUACAUGCAAGUCGAGCGAACAGACGAGGAGCUUGCUCCUCUGACGUUAUCGGCGGACGGGUGAGUAACACGUGGAUAACCUACCUAUAAGACUGGGAUAACUUCGGGAAACCGUAUCUAAUACCGGAUAACAUGUUGAACCGCAUGGUUCAACAGUUAAAUACGGUCUUUCUGUCACUUAUAGAUGGAUCCGCCCCGCAUUAGUUAGUUGGUAAGGUAACGGCUUACCAAGGCAACGACGCGUAGCCGACCUGAAAGGGUGAUCGGCCACCUGGGAACUGAGACACGGCCCAGACUCCGAGGGGAGGCAGCGGUAGGGAAUCUUCCGGAAUGGGCGAAAGCCUAACGGAGCAACGCGGCGUGAGUGAAGAAGGUCUUCGGAUCGUAAAGCUCUGUUAUUAGGGAAGAACAAAUGUGUAAGUAACUAUGCACGUCUUGACGGUACCUAAUCAGAAAGCCACGGCUAACUACGUG
rnacentral:rRNA from 1 species